UCUCCAACAGAAACCACUGUUUGUCAUAAACUGCUCCAAACACUAUUGUAGUCCAGCCUUUACUUCAGAGACAAACGUGGUCACUUUGUAACACAGUAU